rnacentral:rRNA from 1 species
UACGGGGGGAGCAAGCGUUGUUCGGAUUUACUGGGCGUAAAGGGCGCGUAGGCGGCCACAACAAGUCACUUGUGAAAGCCCUCGGCUCAACCGGGGAAGUGCACCCGAAACUGCAAAGCUAGAGUCUCGGAGAGGAUCGUGGAAUUCUCGGUGUAGAGGUGAAAUUCGUAGAUAUCGAGAGGAACACCGGUGGCGAAGGCGGCGAUCUGGACGAUGACUGACGCUGAGACGCGAAAGCGUGGGGAGCAAACAGG